rnacentral:rRNA from 1 species
UACGUAGGGGUGCGAGCGUUGUCCGGAAUUACUGGGCGUAAAAGAGCUCGUAGGCGGUGUGUCGCGUCGGCCGUGAAAACCUGCAGCUUAACUGUGGGCUUGCGGUCGAUACGGGCAUCACUGGAGUUCGGCAGGGGAGACUGGAAUUCCUGGUGUAGCGGUGAAGUGCGCAGAUAUCAGGAGGAACACCGGUGCGAAGGCGGGUCUCUGGGCCGAUACUGACGCUGAGGAGCGAAAGCGUGGGGAGGCGAACAGGGA